UGCAGAAACUGCAGUGAAACGCGUCAGGUGCCACCCUGAUCACCGUUGCUUUGUUGCUGAACCAGUGCCCGGACCAUACUGGAUGCCCAUAGUUUGCUAUUUGGUGGAUUUUAACAGGCGUACUUAGGACCAUCCCGCAAGUCAAGCUCCGCAUACUGGUGAGGAUUGAGAAUAUGCUACCAACUCCCAAUUGAAGGAUCAUCUAUGGGAUAUUUCUCCCUCCAGCGGCCUAAGAAGCGGCCUCCAGGAGGACCAGGGCCCAACAUGGCCUCCAGGACCCCUCAGCACUCCCAAUACAUGCACCACCCAUCCACCCACCCAUCCACUUCCUGCUGCCGGCACCCCUGGACCAUCAAUAAUCCCCCUGCUGCCGGUAUUCGCCGACCCGCCUCCUCCCAGUACCAGCCAAGUUGGAGGGCAGGUCCCGUUGUGGUAUGGGCCGGACAACCUGACUAGGGAACAAAUCCGGCGGUUGGUCCUAAUUCUGUGUGUGGUGGUUAACUGUAUUUUUAGUUAUAUUUUGUGUUGUAUUUAAUUUUUUUUCUUUUCCUGUUUUUGUUUUGAUUGAUUAAAGUUUUUAUAAUUUA